UUCCCGGAAUUAUUGGGCGUAAGCGCGCGCAGGCGGUUUCUUAAGUCUGAUGUGAAAGCCCCCGGCUCAACCGGGGAGGGUCAUUGGAAACUGGGGAACUUGAGUGCAGAAGAGGAGAGUGGAAUUCCACGUGUAGCGGUGAAAUGCGUAGAGAUGUGGAGGAACACCAGUGGCGAAGGCGACUCUCUGGUCUGUAACUGACGCUGAGGCGCGAAAGCGUGGGGAGCGAACAGGAUUAGAUACCCUGGUAGUCCACGCCGUAAACGAUGAGUGCUAAGUGUUAGAGGGUUUCCGCCCUUUAGUGCUGCAGCAAACGCAUUAAGCACUCCGCCUGGGGAGUACGGUCGCAAGACUGAAACUCAAAGGAAUUGACGGGGGCCCGCACAAGCGGUGGAGCAUGUGGUUUAAUUCGAAGCAACGCGAAGAACCUUACCAGGUCUUGACAUCCUCUGACAACCCUAGAGAUAGGGCUUCCCCUUCGGGGACAGAGUGACAGGUGGUGCAUGGUUGUCGUCAGCUCGUGUCGUGAGAUGUUGGGUUAAGUCCCGCAACGAGCGCAACCCUUGAUCUUAGUUGCCAGCAUUCAGUUGGGCACUCUAAGGUGACUGCCGGUGACAAACCGGAGGAAGGUGGGGAUGACGUCAAAUCAUCAUGCCCCUUAUGACCUGGGCUACACACGUGCUACAAUGGGCAGAACAAAGGGCAGCGAAGCCGCGAGGCUAAGCCAAUCCCACAAAUCUGUUCUCAGUUCGGAUCGCAGUCUGCAACUCGUGUGCGUGAAGCUGGAAUCGCUAGUAAUCGCGGAUCAGCAUGCCCGCGGUGAAUACGUUCCCGGGCCCUUGUACACACCGCCCGUCACACCACGAGAGUUUUGUAACACCCCGAAGUCGGUGAGGUAACCCUUUUGGAGCCCAGCCGCCGAGGUGGGACAGAUGAUUGGGGUUGAAUUCGUAACAAGGGUUAACCAGAUA
rnacentral:rRNA from 1 species